rnacentral:rRNA from 1 species
AGAGUUUGAUCAUGACUCAGAACGAACGUUGGCGGCGUGGAUUAGGCAUGCAAGUCGAACGAAUCGCGGGGGCAACUCCGGGGGAAGUGGCGAAAGGGGCAGUAAGGCGUGACUAACCUACCCCGGGGACGGGGAUAGCCUCCCUAACGGGAGGGUAAUACCCGGCGAUGUGGCGGGGGGACAUCGCCCUGCCAUGAAACGAGUUUCGCCUCGGGAGGGGGUCACGUGCUAUUAGCUUGUUGGCGGGGUAACGGCCCACCAAGGCGAAGAUGACUAGCGGGUGUGAGAGCACGACCCGCGCCACUGGCACUGAGACACUGGCCAGACUCCUACGGGAGACUGCAGUCGAGGAUCUUCGGCAAUGGGCGCAAGCCUGACCGAGCGACGCCGCGUGUGCGAUGAAGGCCUUCGGGUUGUAAAGCACUGUCGAGGGGGAGGAAGCCCGCAAGGGUUGACCUAUCGCUGGAGGAAGCACGGACUAAGUUCGUGCCAGCAGCCGCGGUAAGACGAACCGUGCGAACGUUGUUCGGAUUCACUGGACUUAAAGGGCGCGUAGGCGGCUUGCCGAGUCAGGGGUGAAAUCUUUCGACUUAACCGGAAAACGACUCCUGAUACUGGCGGACUGGAGGGAGGUAGGGGCAGAUGGAACUUCCGGUGGAGCGGUGAAAUGCGUAGAUAACGGAAGGAACGCCGGUGGCGAAAGCGAUCUGCUGGACCUCUUCUGACGCUGAGCGCGAAAGCCAGGGGAGCGAACGGGAUUAGAUACCCCGGUAGUCCUGGCCCUAAACGAUGGGUACUAGGUAGUGGACUUGACAUGGGUUCACUGCCGAAGCAAAAGUGUUAAGUACCCCGCCUGGGGAGUAUGGUCGCAAGACUGAAACUCAAAGGAAUUGACGGGGCCCCCACAAGCGGUGGAGCAUGUGACUUAAUUCGAGCUACGCGAAGAACCCU